CAGACCUGGCAACCCAGGGACCCACCCGGAAGCAGCUGCAGCGGCUCCGGGCGGAGGGGAUGACUUCAGUCCGUCACUGAAACAUGGUGGUUGCUUCAGAUAGGAAAGUUUCGUGCUCGUGUUGCGGAUGUUGGCGACUGUGUGCGGACCUGGCGAAGAGAAGCUAAUGUUCCUUUGACGGAGACGUCGGAUCUUCAGCCCCCCCCCCCACGUCUGCUUCACCAUGCCGCUGGUCUUAGAUGCCGUGUGGGCGCUGUGGAGCAUUGGAGCUGGUAUCUAUGACUACUUCCAUACCAGCGCCAUGGAGGAGAGGAUCCACACGCUGGAGAACCUCCUCUCUAUCCACCAGUUUGUGAUCACAGCCCUGUCUGCAGGCCUCAUCCUGCUUAUGAUGUACAUACUGUGGAGAAAACACUAAAACCUUGCCGACCUGGGCAACUGCUGCCAGUCAAUGUUGUUUUGCCGCGGGAUAUCUUUCAUUACCUAGGCUAAUUUCCUUCCAGAUUUUGGCACAGGGACAGUCUGAUUCAUGCAGCUGUUCACACUUGAAGAUGACGUGUGUUCAAUGAAGAUGUCCCAGAUGAGGUCAGGAGCACUGAAGAGAAACUAAACCGAGGAGUAUAGCUCCAUAAGGACAUCUUGUCUCUGAAAACUUGUCGGUAGUUGAGCUGCGUCUGUCUGUCUGUCUGUGUUUUUUGGAUGUUAAACUUGCCUGAGUCAUCUACAGACCAGAAAUCACAGCUGCUUCUCAAGGCAACUUUGCACUUUUACUUUGCCAAGCUUGAAAGUAUUUAAUGUCCAGAGAUUUUACAGCCUUUGAUUUGUUAACAGAAGCCAAGUGUGACAAUAGUUUCCACUGCGUUUUUUAACCCUGAUAUCACAAUGUGAUUAUUUUGUGUUCACAAAUCAGUUAUGAUGGUUUUUUUUACAUAUACAUUUGUCUGAAUUGAUUUAAUUAUUUCAUCCUCUUGGCAUUGUCAUCAUCACAACUUAAUUAUCUCUGUCCAGUCGCCUCUGUUAUCUCUGGUUUGUUCUCUCCUCAGAUACAGACGAAUAAUAAUAAUAUUGAAAUCCACUUUGGAUAGACGGAACUAGAUAAGUCUGUUAUCUGGAGCUAUUGAUGCUUUUAAGUUCACUGAGCAGUGUCUAAAGAAAAAAACAUCUUGUCGAAUAUGUAUAGUUGCUUCAGACAUGCACUGAAGUCUGGACAUUUUCCUGACAUUUUCUGAAGGGGCUGUAAGAACUCAAAUGUCUGAAUUAGUAGCUCUAGACAUUUUCUAGAAAUGUUCCUACCUGCCCCACAGUAAAAUGUCCGAGUGAGCCUAUAUGAGAAUACAGCACGGAAAUAACCGGAAAAUUCACAGCAAGCAAGUGGGCAUAUUUAUGGAAGAAUACAAAUAUCUCAGUAUGAAAAACAGGAGCCACACAUACAGAAAACACAGACAAAGAGGUCAAAUUGAAAGGACGAGGAGAUUCAAGAGCUUGUGGUGAUAGAAGGGCCUACACAGGUACCUGGUCUUUCCACAGUAGGAUUUAUCUUCAUAUGUUUUUUUCAUAUGUGAAAGACAAACCCCAGAACAUUUCUGGACAUUUUCCAGAGUUCAUGUCUGAAAAAAGCUCAUGUCAGGCAGGUGGUCGGCAGAUCGAGGCUGAGGAGAAUAUGUGGCGGCUGUUAAACUUGCGGUGUAUUUACCCUGGUUCCAGGAGAGGUUAAAAACCAACUCGUUUCUAAAGCACAUUUAAAAACAGGACAUUAAAAAAGUGCUGUACAAUAAAAUAACAGUAGAAUAAGAAAAUAUUACCACUAAAUUCAAACACUGGGAA